UACGGGGGGAGCAAGCGUUGUUCGGAUUUACUGGUCGUAAAGGGCGCGUAGGCGGUCAGCACAAGUCAGUUGUGAAAUCUCCGGGCUUAACUCGGAAAGGUCAACUGAUACUGUGCGACUAGAGUGCAGAAGGGGCAACUGGAAUUCUCGGUGUAGCGGUGAAAUGCGUAGAUAUCGAGAGGAACACCUGCGGCGAAGGCGGGUUGCUGGGCUGACACUGACGCUGAUGCGCGAAAGCCAGGGGAGCGAACGGG
rnacentral:rRNA from 1 species